rnacentral:rRNA from 1 species
UACCUGGCUCAGGACGAACGCUGGCGGCGUGCUUAACACAUGCAAGUCGAGCGAUGAAGCUUCCUUCGGGGAGUGGAUUAGCGGCGGACGGGUGAGUAACACGUGGGUAACCUGCCUCAAAGUGGGGGAUAGCCUUCCGAAAGGAAGAUUAAUACCGCAUAAUAUAAGAGAAUCGCAUGAUUUUCUUAUCAAAGAUUUAUUGCUUUGAGAUGGACCCGCGGCGCAUUAGCUAGUUGGUAAGGUAACGGCUUACCAAGGCAACGAUGCGUAGCCGACCUGAGAGGGUGAUCGGCCACAUUGGAACUGAGACACGGUCCAGACUCCUACGGGAGGCAGCAGUGGGGAAUAUUGCGCAAUGGGGGAAACCCUGACGCAGCAACGCCGCGUGGGUGAUGAAGGUCUUCGGAUUGUAAAGCCCUGUUUUCUAGGACGAUAAUGACGGUACYAGAGGAGGAAGCCACGGCUAACUACGUGCCAGCAGCCGCGGUAAUACGUAGGUGGCGAGCGUUGUCCGGAUUUACUGGGCGUAAAGGGUGCGUAGGCGGAUGUUUAAGUGGGAUGUGAAAUCCCCGGGCUUAACCUGGGGGCUGCAUUCCAAACUGGAUAUCUAGAGUGCAGGAGAGGAAAGCGGAAUUCCUAGUGUAGCGGUGAAAUGCGUAGAGAUUAGGAAGAACACCAGUGGCGAAGGCGGCUUUCUGGACUGUAACUGACGCUGAGGCACGAAAGCGUGGGUAGCAAACAGGAUUAGAUACCCUGGUAGUCCACGCCGUAAACGAUGGAUACUAGGUGUAGGGGGUAUCAACUCCCCCUGUGCCGCAGUUAACACAAUAAGUAUCCCGCCUGGGGAGUACGGUCGCAAGAUUAAAACUCAAAGGAAUUGACGGGGGCCCGCACAAGCAGCGGAGCAUGUGGUUUAAUUCGAAGCAACGCGAAGAACCUUACCUGGACUUGACAUCCCUUGCAUAGCCUAGAGAUAGGUGAAGCCCUUCGGGGCAAGGAGACAGGUGGUGCAUGGUUGUCGUCAGCUCGUGUCGUGAGAUGUUAGGUUAAGUCCUGCAACGAGCGCAACCCUUGUUAUUAGUUGCUACCAUUAAGUUGAGCACUCUAAUGAGACUGCCUGGGUAACCAGGAGGAAGGUGGGGAUGACGUCAAAUCAUCAUGCCCCUUAUGUCCAGGGCUACACACGUGCUACAAUGGUAGGUACAAUAAGACGCAAGACCGUGAGGUGGAGCAAAACUUAUAAAACCUAUCUCAGUUCGGAUUGUAGGCUGCAACUCGCCUACAUGAAGCUGGAGUUGCUAGUAAUCGCGAAUCAGAAUGUCGCGGUGAAUACGUUCCCGGGCCUUGUACACACCGCCCGUCACACCAUGAGAGCUGGUAACACCCGAAGUCCGUGAGGUAACCGUAAGGAGCCAGCGGCCGAAGGUGGGAUUAGUGAUUGGGGUGAAGUCGU